CACAUCAGUCUGUCACCAUCAAGG
rnacentral:siRNA from 1 species